AUGAACGCUGGCGGCGUGCCUAAUACAUGCAAGUCGAGCGAACGGACGAGAAGCUUGCUUCUCUGAUGUUAGCGGCGGACGGGUGAGUAACACGUGGAUAACCUACCUAUAAGACUGGGAUAACUUCGGGAAACCGGAGCUAAUACCGGAUGAUAUUUUGAACCGCAUGGUUCAAAAGUGAAAGACGGUCUUGCUGUCACUUAUAGAUGGAUCCGCGCUGCAUUAGCUAGUUGGUAAGGUAACGGCUUACCAAGGCAACGAUGCAUAGCCGACCUGAGAGGGUGAUCGGCCACACUGGAACUGAGACACGGUCCAGACUCCUACGGGAAGCAGCAGUAGGGAAUCUUCCGCAAUGGGCGAAAGCCUGACGGAGCAACGCCGCGUGAGUGAUGAAGGUCUUCGGAUCGUAAAACUCUGUUAUUAGGGAAGAACAUAUGUGUAAGUAACUGUGCACAUCUUGACGGUACCUAAUCAGAAAGCCACGGCUAACUACGUG
rnacentral:rRNA from 1 species